GUUCUUGAGUCCCUGAAGAGGGCCUUUCUGAAGCAGCAAAGGAAGGAGAAAGUCUACCCUUCAUCUCCAUCAAGUGCUAAGUUCGAAUCUGGGACUGCAGAGCUGAUGCUCAUUAAAGGAAGAUGCAUGCACAUGCCAGGGUCAGUGCUGGGCGUGUCUGCAGAGCAAGUAAGGUCCAGCUCUCUUUUUGCUCCUGGAAAAUGAAGGUGAGAAUCAGGACAUGUUGUGCUGACCCCAGCGGGCAUCUUUCAGCUCCAGUCUGCAGAGACGGCUGACAUCCGCCGCCGAUGAGCACUCCCGGUUGAAACCAAGAGAGAAAAUGGCUUGGGUUCGAAGCAUAAAUGAACCUCACUCAC